ACUGCUUUGGCAGAUUGAAAUGCGUUAGACUUAGGUUCUAUAUAUGUAUAGGUAUACAGGCAGUA
rnacentral:tRNA from 1 species